GGAAUAUUGGUCAAUGGGCGGAAGCCUGAACCAGCCAUGCCGCGUGCAGGAAGACGGCCCUAUGGGUUGUAAACUGCUUUUGCAGGGGAAUAAACCUCAUUACGUGUAAUGAGCUGAAUGUACUCUGAGAAUAAGGAUCGGCUAACUCCGUGCCAGCAGCCGCGGUAAUACGGAGGAGCCAAGCGUUAUCCGGAUGUAUUGGGUUUAAAGGGUGCGUAGGUGGCUUUUUAAGUCAGGGGUGAAAGACGGUAGCUUAACUAUCGCAGUGCCUUUGAUACUGAAGAGCUUGAAUGAACUAGAGGUAGGCGGAAUGUGACAAGUAGCGGUGAAAUGCAUAGAUAUGUCACAGAACACCAAUUGCGAAGGCAGCUUACUAUGGUUUUAUUGACACUGAGGCACGAAAGCGUGGGGAUCAAAC
rnacentral:rRNA from 1 species